GUAAUUCAAAGAAUCAUGGGAGUUGUAGUUCAGCAACAUCUGGGGGGCCCGGAGUUUGAGGACCCCUGCUUUAAGGUCUUGAGUGCACCAGACUACUUCCAGAAUUCUACUUAAAGGGUCUCUCCAGGGAGGAUUGGACUUCACUAAUGUAAUUUGCUAAUAGGAAUUAAAAAUGGAAAGAAAAACCCUGAAAGUUGUAUAUUUGCAUUAGGUCUCCCUUGUAAUCUUUGCAGCAACAAAGAAAAUAUCAGAACACACUCUAAUACGUGCUAUCCUGCACAGUGAGAUGGAAGUAACAGGAAGAAUGUUUGCUACAGUGAUAAUUUUUCCUAUUUAGUAGAAAGAAAAAAGGUAUUUAUAGUAGGAACAAAAAAAAAAAUGGAGACCAUGUUUUGGCUCCUCCGAGCUUUUAUCAAGUCUCAGAAAGGAGUCGAAACAUUGUCUCCACUUUUUUUUUUUGUUCCUAAUAAAUAGAAACCUCCAGGUGUGCCUGGGUAUUUUUUUUCUUUUGUUGCGGUCUCCGGGGAUAGGCCCUCCCUUUCUGGAGCACCCUACAGAAAGCAUUCCCUCUUGUUAGUGUGUGCAACAUAAUUGUGAUUUAUUUUUUUUGCAAACAUCAGCAGAGUCUCAGACUAAUUAGUGAUUUUAUUUAAUUACGAGUAGAUCUCUGUCAGGAUUUUACAAAUUGUACAAAGAUAAUUAAUGCACACAGGAUAUCUAAUCACCUGUAUUAAUUGUUUUAAAGGGAAUAUUCUAAAACCUUUUUAGGAAUUGUUACAUAUAAGGCAAGUGUCUGAGUAUCCUUUUAACCUUUCAUAUUUUGUUUAAAAAAAACAAAAUACACACCACUUCAUAAUGCAUUACAUUUCUUUGAAACAUGACAAGAGUAGAAUAUAAAGGGAGACUGUCACUUCUCUGGUAUUUAUAACAUUUAAUAAAAUAUUGAAAAUCAC